rnacentral:tRNA from 1 species
GGCCCGAUAGCUCAGUUGGUAGAGCGAGGGAUUGAAAAUCCCUGCGUCUGUGGUUCGAAUCCACAUCGGGCCA